UACGUAGGGGGCAAGCGUUGUCCGGAUUUAUUGGGCGUAAAGAGCGUGUAGGCGGCUUUACAGGUCCGUUGUGAAAACUCGAGGCUCAACCUCGGAACUGCGUCUGAAACUACUCGACUAGAGUACUGGAGAGGGUAACGGAAUUCACGGUGUAGCAGUGAAAUGCGUAGAUAUCGUGAGGAACACCAGAGGCGAAGGCGGUUACCUGGACAGUUACUGACGCUCAGGCACGAAAGCAUGGGGAGCAAAAGGG
rnacentral:rRNA from 1 species